rnacentral:rRNA from 1 species
AAUGAACGCUGGUGGCAGACCUAACACAUGCAAGUCGAACGGUCUAUAUUAAACUUCGGUUUUUUAUAGAUAGUGGCAAACGGGUGAGUAAAGGCAUGGGAAUCUACCUAGAAGUUUGGAAAUAGGCUAUUAGAAAUGUAUAGAUAAUACCAAAUACACCUCGAGAGGGAAAGUUGACUUCGGUACUUCGCUUUUAGAUGAGGCCCAUGUUAAAUUAGUUAGUUGGUAGGGUAAUGGCCUACCAAGAUGAUGAUUUAUAGCUGGUCUUAGAGGAUGAUCAGCCACACUGGAAUUGAGAUACGGUCCAGACUCCUACGGGAGGCAGGCAGUGGGGAAUAUUGGGACAAAUGGGCGCAAAGCCGUAGAUCCAGUCAUGCCACGUGAGUGAUGAAGGUCUUAGGAUUGUAAAACUCUUUUAGCAGGGAAAAAAUGAUGGUACCUGCAGAAAAAAGU